UACGGGGGGGGCAAGCGUUGUUCGGAAUUACUGGGCGUAAAGGGCCAGUAGGCGGCCAACUAAGUCGGAUGUGAAAUCCCCAGGCUCAACCUGGGAACUGCAUCCGAUACUGGAUGGCUUGAAUUCGGGAGAGGGAUGCAGAAUUCCAGGUGUAGCGGUGAAAUGCGUAGAUAUCUGGAGGAACACCGGUGGCGAAGGCGGCAUCCUGGACCGACACUGACGCUGAGGCGCGAAGGCCAGGGGAGCAAACGGG
rnacentral:rRNA from 1 species